rnacentral:rRNA from 1 species
GUAGGUGGCAAGCGUUGUCCGGAAUUAUUGGGCGUAAAGCGCGCGCAGGCGGUCCUUUAAGUCUGAUGUGAAAGCCCACGGCUCAACCGUGGAGGGUCAUUGGAAACUGGGGGACUUGAGUACAGAAGAGGAAAGCGGAAUUCCGAGUGUAGCGGUGAAAUGCGUAGAGAUUUGGAGGAACACCAGUGGCGAAGGCGGCUUUCUGGUCUGUAACUGACGCUGAGGCGCGAAAGCGUGGGGAGCAAACAGGAUUAGAUACCCUGGUAGUCCACGCCGUAAACGAUGAGUGCUAAGUGUUAGGGGGUUUCCCGCCCCCCUUAGUGCUGCAGCUAACGCAUUAAGCACUCCGCCUGGGGAGUACGGCCGCAAGGCUG